rnacentral:misc_RNA from 1 species
UUUCCGUAGGUGAACCUGCGGAAGGAUCAUUAACAAGUACUGCUUUUGGUGCUGCCUAACUCAGAAUCAAUUCUGUGUGCAACACUGGCACGUUCACUUACGAACCAUGCGAAUUAGCGUGUGCAUGACAUUCCUUCUAGUCGUAUGCUUUUAACGUUUACAACUUUAAACAAAACUUUUAACAAUGGAUCUCUAGGCUCUU